rnacentral:piRNA from 1 species
UGGCAUGAUGGUGGGCAUUUGUAGUCCCAAA